UACAGAGGGGGCGAGCGUUGUUCGGAAUUACUGGGCGUAAAGCGCACGUAGGCGGCUAUUCAAGUCGGGGGUGAAAGCCCGGGGCUCAACCCCGGAACUGCCCUCGAAACUAGGUAGCUAGAAUCUUGGAGAGGCGAGUGGAAUUCCGAGUGUAGAGGUGAAAUUCGUAGAUAUUCGGAAGAACACCAGUGGCGAAGGCGACUCGCUGGACAAGUAUUGACGCUGAGGUGCGAAAGCGUGGGGAGCAAACAGG
rnacentral:rRNA from 1 species